rnacentral:rRNA from 1 species
GUAGGCAGCAAGCGUUGUUCGGAAUUACUGGGCGUAAAGAGUGUGUAGGCGGUGUUCUAAGUCUGUCGUGAAAUCUCCCGGCUUAACUGGGAGGGUGCGGCGGAAACUGGAAUGCUAGAGGGUGGGAGAGGAAAGCGGAAUUCCUGGUGUAGCGGUGAAAUGCGUAGAUAUCAGGAGGAACACCUGCGGUGUAGACAGCUUUCUGGACCACUUCUGACGCUGAGACACGAAAGCGUGGGUAGCAAACAGGAUUAGAUACCCUGGUAGUCCACGCCCUAAACGAUGCAUACUUGGUGUGAGCGAUUCAUUUCGUUCGUGCCGGAGCUAACGCGUUAAGUAUGCCGCCUGGGGAGUACGGUCGCAAGGCUG